CUUUAUAUCCCAUAUAUAAACAAUUAUUAAGGAUCUUUUUGGAACUGCAAUAGUCAUAAUGUGAUAUGACUAUAAAAUCAGUCUGCUAGAAAAGGGACUAAUGAUUAUAAACAUAAGAAUAUCCAGGGGGAAAAUGGAUUUUAUUUAUACAGGAUCUACAUGUAUUAUUGUACAUUGUCCAGAUAGUUUGUAUUUUGACUCCAUUUAGCUGAUUUUACCAUACCUAUUGUUCCUCAGGUGAGCGAUGUGGCCCAUGGGCUUCUUGUUUCAUUUCUUUGAAUCAUGACUCCCCCCUCACCUUCUCUCUUACUUUAUUUGACUUAAUUAAGCUUUUCAUGUUAUUGCUUAUAAUUAUCAUUUCAACUGGAUGUCCUCUGACUGAAAUUUCUACGUUAAUUUUUGUCCUUAGUACAAUUGUAUAUAUAUAUCUUAGUAAAUUCAUUGGGUCCAAAAUUUGGAAGUAAGAAAUGACUAUCUUCACUGUUGUAAUGUUUGAAAUAUUUUGUUUUGUUAAUAAUUUACAUUCCUCUGCUGCCUGAGGGCUCUGGAUGUUUAACAUGUUCACAGGUACUAGUAUGAUGUGAAUUAAAUACCGGUAAAUUUUAAACCUCUUUGAUUUCCAGCUUCAAGAGAUGACACUAAAAUUAGUCAAUUAUCUUGAGGAUUUUUUAUUUGUUUUAUUUACAAAUUAUAUUUUAUGUACACUUUAAAUUAUUUCAAAUAAAUACCAGUAUUUUGUUGAUAAAAGAAAGAGAGAUGUCUUGACUAUUGACUCAAAUACAAUUUUAGUGAAUUCUGUCUUCUUUAAUCAUUUUCUGGAUCUUCAUGUAACUUGUAUAUUGUAUUUGAAUGCACAUAUAUUAUAUGCUGUUCAUUGAUUCUCAAUUAUAGUUUCUUUCUUUUUUUUUUACAAUAUUGCUUUAUUACAGGGUUUUUUUAAUUGCUUGAUGUUAUAUGCUUUAUAUACUAGUACCUCAAAUAAAAACAUAUAUAAUCC
rnacentral:sRNA from 1 species